AUUGAACGCUGGCGGAAUGCUUUACACAUGCAAGUCGAACGGCAGCACGGACUUCGGUCUGGUGGCGAGUGGCGAACGGGUGAGUAAUACAUCGGAACGUGCCCAGUCGUGGGGGAUAACGUAGCGAAAGCUACGCUAAUACCGCAUACGAUCUAAGGAUGAAAGCGGGGGAUCGCAAGACCUCGCGCGAUUGGAGCGGCCGAUGGCAGAUUAGGUAGUUGGUAGGGUAAGGGCCUACCAAGCCGACGAUCUGUAGCUGGUCUGAGAGGAUGUUCAGCCACACUGGGACUGAGACACGGCCCAGACUACUACGGGAGGCAGCAGUGGGGAAUUUUGGACAAUGGGCGCAAGCCUGAUCCAGCCAUUCCGCGUGCAGGAUGAAGGCCUUCGGGUUGUAAACUGCUUUUGUACAGAACGAAAAGGCUCUGGUUAAUACCCGGGGCUCAUGACGGUACUGUAAGAAUAAGCACCGGCUAACUACGUGCCAGCAGCCGCCGUAA
rnacentral:rRNA from 1 species